ensembl:lncRNA
AGGAAAUCCUUUUCCCUGCUAACAUUUAUUUGCAGUUGGAUGUGAAGGCAUGGAAAUGUAAAACAUGAAGGCAGUACACAAGAUGAGGAGCUUUAUUCAAGCAAUUGUAGCAUGUCAUGUUUUGCCUGUACAUAACCACAGCUGUGAAUUGGUGUGAGAACCUGAUUUUUUUUUUUUAAUCUAGGCAUAUCAUAUGAACAGAAUUCCAGAAUAUGAUACAACCCAAAACAUACACGACUCGGAAUAAGAGAACACUGCAGUUGUUAUAACUGAUGGCAAGCUUACAAUGACUUUGUUCGUUCUGUGGGACAAGAAAAUUUAAAUAUAAAACAAGCAGAACAGAUACCAACAUGAAAUGCUCUGUAUUUGCCAUACGAGGAGAGAUUUGUGAUUGCAUCAGCCUGCAGAGAGAGUAGCUGGAAACUAUCCGAGCGUGAUGACUAAACAGAAACUGAUCUGUUGUUUGCUGGCUGGCACGAACAAGUAUUGCCAAAGCUAGGAAAUUCAGAAGGCAAAAACAAGUAGUAGUAACCCACUUCUAGGCAUGCAUUACAACAUGAUCAAAGAGCAACAUCUCCCAGAAAGAGAAGUAAACUAACGGAACAGUAGUUUUAGAGUGAGGGCAUUUCAUCUUAACUGUUCAGAAUGCAGUGCUAGGGAUGGGCCUGUUAUUAACACAACACUUCCUUCCUUUUCUAAUUUGCCAUUAACAUUUUUCUUAUACCUUGAAUCCCAAGUCUGCUGACCUUUCAGAAUGGAGCAUGGUUAACUUGAAGGGUGUAUAAUUUAACAGUUUCAACUGCUCAAAAAAAGAUCUGUUAAGUGAAUUUGGAUUUAUCACAGGCCAUCAGACACUCAGCAACAGAUGAAAACGUAGUUAUUAUUCUCUUCAAUCUUCUCUACUUAGAUUACAUCUAAGUCAAUAUCCUACAGUCUGAACUCAGGUACCAGAGAUAGCAGAGACAAUGAGUUCAGUAUCUGCCCCUUACUGGUCAGGAGGCAGGAUACAAACAAUUGCUACAGCAGACUGGGGAAGAUCAUUGCAAUACUGGUAUUCAUCAUUUGUUGUUGUGAUACUUUCAAUGAGAUUAGAUACACUCAAAACCAAACGUCAAUAAGUGACAAAAGCUCCUCUUAAGAAACUGUUAAAACCAACAAAAAACACUCAUGUUCUCAGACUGGGAAGAAUUGGGUAUUACUGCUAUAGAAGAGCAAGUAAAGCAAGCAGAGGGUACAAUGUCUCUUUUCCUGUACAGGGGAAUCUCAGGCAAGGAACGUUUCCUGUGGUAUUUGUUCCUUAAUGAGGAAAACUGUAGCCAACAAGCAGGAAGAGACAUAAUCCCCUUACUGACCACUCUACAGCUGCAUCAGGCCAUGCUGCACAUCUGGAAGCACACAACAGAGGAAAGUAGAAGCUAUUUUUCCUCAUCUUCCUUUCAG